UUUUAUAAAGGAAAAAAGUGAUUAAAAAGUUUAAAUUAUCCUCAAAAAUACAUAUCUUUGAGGAUAGACAUCGAAAAAAUUCACAUCUUCAAAUACGGCCAGAAACUCGCCGUGAUGUCCAAACCGGAUACCGUCGUUAUCUGGAAUCCUUUCAUUAGGAAAACUGUUGAUAUUAAUUUACCUUUGAUAGUAAUUUACAAGACGGAAAUACUGGGACCCAAGUUGAGGUAUUUUCGGUAAGUUCGGGAGGGACUUGGAGAAGUCUGUUAAGUAGCAAUGUUCCUCAUAGAUCGAUUCGAUUUGGGGGUUGGCCAGGGGACGCGGUUGUAGACAGGUUUAAUUAUUGGGUCGCUGAUGAUAGGAUUGACGUAAUUAAACCUGAGAUCCAUGAGAUCCAUGUCUGACAUUUGUUUCAAGAUAUGUUAGGAUGGGCUUUCCUUCCCCAUUGAGGCAUUGACUUGGUGAACUAGUACUUUCGCUUUUUUCUCUUAUAUUUUGUUAAAUCUUUCUAAGCCUAUUAUUUGAUUGCAGUAGGGCAUACUCUUUAAUUUGGCUAAUUUUAUUUUAUUUUAUAGUUAUCUGUGAUGGUUUGGGUGCUUGAGAACCAACUGCUAAACUUGUUGCUACACUAGGAAUACUCUGCACCCUCUUGUUUUUUGUUUUUUGUCUAUAAAGAUCCAUCUGUGCUCAUAUAAAUUUCCGUAAGAAUAGACAUAUUUAAGAAGGUAACAAGUUGAUGAGGGCCUUCUAUCAAAGGCAAAUCCUACUGGAACUACAAGCUGAUUGGUAGGCAUGAAAAACAUGGGUUAUGAGUUUUUUCUCAUAUAUAAUCUGUCACUAACGUUAUAACUAAUAACUUGAGGGUAUUUAUGGAGGUCGUCAUAUUUGUGGCCAAACUAGCAUGUGUGAUAUGAAUAAACCCGAAAUCCCCUUUCACAGCAACACCCAAAACCUCAUUGGUUCCACCUCCCCUACUAAUCCUGAUUGCCCUCUUAGAUGGAAUACACUUUGCUCCUCUUAAACUUAAUCUUAACACUUCGCGACUUGGCUCCAUAGAUUACCAACUCAAGAGGUUGGCCCUCUUAACUACCUUAACGCGUUCUUUUUGAUCAAGAGGUUGUGGCACAAGUCUACUGGAGGGAGGAAAUAAGAAAGUUGGUAUGGGUUGAGUACUUCGUUAGAUCUUUGUUUCAUACUUACAGCGUUACAGAAUGUAUGUUAAACAAAGAGAUCCAGCAAUUUGCUUGGAUACAAGACAGUUACAACUAAGACGACUGCAAUAUGUUCAGAUUAAGUUUAAGAGCGGCAAAUCUAUUCCAUUUAAGAGGGCUGCAAUAUGUAAACUGGUCAUACUUGUCGAAGUGAUAAACAUAAACUCAUUGAAUGCUUUCACUUCUUUAGGCUGAGUGGCUGACUAGAAUUGGUAUACUAAGAGUGAAUUUGUUUAGUUUUACUGUAAUAUGAAUGUUUUAUUUUUAUAAAAGUGUGCUUCAGUUCA